rnacentral:sRNA from 26 species
UCCUAGCCCCGAUUGCAACGGAAAUCCUUUUUCUUGCUUCUUUAGCAAGGAAAAGAUUGAAGUGUAAAGCGGGAAAUAGC